UUAGUUCGCAUAUUGUCAAAGCAGCGUGUGUGUGCUGCGGUGGCGAAACAAGUCGGAAAAGUUUGUUAACAGCGUUAUUUUAUCAAAACUAAACAUUGUCACGGUGUUUUGUCGUUGUGAACUUUAGAAGGAGCCUCAAGAAAGUCAUUCACAACGUCUAAAACGACCCAAAACGACCUUUAAAGUCAGUUAGCUCUGUGAGUUAGCUGUGUGAGACCAUGGUGGUGUUGAGAGGAGGGAUGUGUCCUGGACUGGAUGAGGACUUAGUGAGUGAACUGCGAGCUGCAGACAUUAAAACAGUGGAGGACGUGGUCUCAUCUGACAUUGAGGAACUUGCUCAGAGAUGCUCUGUGUCAUAUAAGGCUCUGUUCGCCAUCCGCCGAGUGCUGCUGGCCCAACAUACAGCAUUCCCCGUGUCAGGCGCUGAUCUGUAUGAAGAACUAUUGAGCUCAACAGCCAUCCUCUCCACUGGAAAUCCAAGCUUAGAUAAACUGCUGGAUUCAGGCUUGUAUACCGGAGAGAUAACAGAGCUGUCAGGAGGCCCAGGAAGUGGCAAAUCUCAGGUGUGUUUCGGCGUCGCAGUGCACAUUUCUUACCAGCUGAAACAGAGUGUGAUAUUUAUCGAUACGACAGGCGGGCUGACUGCCAGCCGCUUGCUUCAAAUGCUACAAGCUGAGACGAGUAACACAGAGGAGCAGAUGGAAGCUCUUCAGAGGAUCCAUAUCUUCCGUUUGUUUAACGUCUUCUCUUUACUCGACUGUCUGUACGGUCUUCGCGGUGGCAGGCUUCAGCAGGCAUCUGUUGGCGGUGGCUCUGUCAAGGCGGUGAUCGUGGACUCGGUGUCAGCUGUUAUCUCUCCUCUACUGGGAGGCAAACAGAAUGAAGGCAUGUCCUUGAUGAUCCAAGUGGCAGGAGUUCUUAAGACAAUGGCUAAGGACUUCAAUGUUGCUGCUCUGGUUACAAACCAUGUUACGAGAAGUGGCAGCGGGGAGGUGCAGCCGGGCCUCGGUGUGUCGUGGGGCCACGUCCCCAGAACCAGGAUCCUGCUGGAGCGAGUAGAGAGGGCCACGGCCGUCAGCCACUCGAGCCUGCGCUCCGCAACACUGAUCAAGUCUUCUAGACAGACUGAUAAUUUACCAGUCGGAAAUUCCCAUGAAAAGUUGUUGUGGACUUUGCUGAAGUGUUUUUCUGCGGUCAUUGUCAAAUCUGCCUUGUCACAUCAAAGAAGAGUUUGACUUGCAGUGGUGGAGUCGCUCUAAAGAAGGAUCCUCAGGAAAGAGAAAACUGGAUGAGACUGAUUCCUGAUGAGAAGCAACUGGAAAUCUCUGACCAAAGGGAGGGACGAUGCGUCUCUUGCGGAUACAUUCCCAGAUCCAGCUGGGUGAGACUCUCUGGGCCUGGCUGUCCUCUUCAGGUUCAGCCAGCGUAUGUGUGGCCGAGGCGACGUCAUAGUCCGCUACGAUGUCUCCAUC